AACGUAGGAGACAAACGUUAUCCGGAGUUACUGGGCGUAAAGGGCGUGUAGGCGGUUCGUUAAGUCUGGCGUGAAAGCUCUCGGCUAAACCGGGAGAGGUCGUUGGAUACUGGCAAACUAGAGGACGGUAGAGGCGUGUGGAAUUCCGGGUGUAGUGGUGAAAUGCGUAGAGAUCCGGAGGAACACCAGUGGCGAAGGCGGGUCUCUGGGCCGAUACUGACGCUGAGGAGCGAAAGCGUGGGGAGCGAACAGG
rnacentral:rRNA from 1 species